AUUGAACGCUGGCGGCAGGCCUAACACAUGCAAGUCGAACGAGUGGCGCACGGGAGAGUAAUGUCUGGGAACCUGCCUGAUGGAGGGGGAUAACUACUGGAAACGGUAGCUAAUACCGCAUACCAUCGGAUGUGCCCAGCUGGGAUUAGCUAGUAGGUGGGGUAAAGGCUAACCAAGGCGACGAUCCCGAGCUGGUCUGAGAGGAUGACCGGCAACACUGGAACGGAGACACGGUCCAGACUCCUACGGGAGGCAGCAGGGGGGAAUAUUGGACAAGGGGCGCAAGCCUGAGGCAGCCAUGCCGCGUGGAUGAAGAAGGCCUUCGGGUUGUAAAGUACUUUCAGCGGGGAGGCGUUACCCGCAGAAGAAGCACCGGCUAACUCCGUGCCAGCAGCCGCGGUAAUUC
rnacentral:rRNA from 1 species